UACGGGGGGAGCAAGCGUUGUUCGGAUUUACUGGGCGUAAAGGGCGGGUAGGCGGCCACCGCAAGUCGACUGUGAAAUCUCCGGGCUUAACCCGGGAAGGUCAGCCGAUACUGCGGGGCUAGAGUGCAGAAGGGGCAACUGGAAUUCUCGGUGUAGCGGUGAAAUGCGUAGAUAUCGAGAGGAACACCUGCGGCGAAGGCGGGUUGCUGGGCUGACACUGACGCUGAACUGCGAAAGCUAGGGGAGCGAACGGG
rnacentral:rRNA from 1 species